UGGCUUCAACAUCAGUAAACACAACCAAAAUGAAUCCAUUCCUUAUAAUGCGCUCUGGAUCAUAAGGCGAAUAGCAGUUUUUUUAUUUUUAAUAAAGCCUUUUAAGUAUAUCUACAUGUGGAAAAUAUGUUACAGUAAGAAUCAAAUUCUUCAUUGGUUUACCUUAUGAAAUCUCAGAGGCUUAUGGAUUAAAGCUAAUCCAAUCUAUGUGUCAUCUCUUCAUGGGAAGUUAAAUUCCUUUAAUCUUUUUCAUGUUGAAUGAAAUACCAAUAUGCAUUUGUUUUUUAUUUGAAAGAGUUUUUCAAGCUCAUAAUAGUUAACUAAUUUGUUGCAAUUUCACCAAACCCUCUGGAAUUUCAAAUAGAUCAAAAGAAAGGAUGCUCACAGAAUGGAUCAAUGUUCACACUUUCAACAAAAACUUCCUUUUAAAAUGUCUUCUAUUAAGCCAAGUCAUCUGAAAAAAGCUGCAAAACAUGAUUUGUGCCCAGCAAAGAAGCAAAAAACAAAAUGUUCAUCUGCCUUCAUGUUGCUUUCAGAGGAAGAGGAGAAGGGACAAACUCCAAGUACAGUUUUAUUGUCCUUCCAGGAUCAACAGAAACAGAUUUUUUUUGCACCUUCAUGAUGAUCCAAAUAUCAAGCUGAGGGAUUUUUUUUUUUUUUUUUUUCUAAAUGCAGUGAAGCGUUUCAAAGAAGUGAAGAGGAUGCUUCCAAAACCAACUCGUAAGAAGAGAAACAAAGAGAUGUGACCUCUCUGACCUGGACUGGUUUGCAUCCCAGAGUGGCAAAAAUAGCAAAAACGGAAGGAUGGAUACAUGCUCACACCAAAAAGACCUUUUUAGUCAUCCGAACAGAAAGGAUAUCUUCCACUGACAAGGUUAAUGUUCACUCUCAGACUCAUUUUAAUAGCUGUGGGUUUCGAGCAUUAUCUAUCACUCACAUAAUGGAUUAAAUUUUCAUGGUGUAAUCGUCCCAUUUUACAGAGCAGGAUUCUGACCCCUCCACCAAAAGUACAAAGGAGCGGCUCUGUGGGGACUGAGGCUUGCUUGGGGAAAAUGGGGAGAGGAUGGAGCAGGAAACCUUUCUACGUUUUGUUCUGACCUUAAAGUCUCAUUAAAACGCAACCAUGUUCUAGCUGUGAAAUAUUUAGCCACAUCUAAGGAUUAUCCAGUCAAACAAACAUAAAAACAAACAAUUCUUUGACAGCUUCAUCAUAGGCUGCAUAUCCACGCAGGCUUAACCGCCAGGCCGGAUUGAUCCUUUAUUAGCGCCGAUGUCACGUCGACGGUGAGGCAAAUGAUUUCGCUUUGUGCCGCGGCUCGGUGCUGCUCUGGCAUUCAGAAGUGAGGCUCAGAUAACUGACACUGACAGGCCAAAGCUGCAGCAGAUGAACCUCAUCGACUCCCAGAGGCGUCCCUGAUCACAACCAUGACGGCGCCGGAGACGGAGGAAGAAGAUUGACACCAGAACAGGAGAUUUGGAGUCCUCUCAGGGUCGUCGGAGCCUGUUGGAUGAAGGCGGAGUAUAUCCAGGACAGGUCACCAGGGUAAUGCAGGGCACACAAACACUCCCACACACACUCACACCUAUAGGGGCACUUAGAGUAACCAAUUAACCUAUGAAGCAUAUUUUUUUUGGAUGUGGGAGGAAACUUGAGUGCCUGGAGAAGACCCAAACAUGUAAGGGGAGAACAUGUAAAUUCCACACAGAAAGGUCCCAGUCAGCAUUUGGAUUUAAAAUAACAUGUUUAGUAAAUCAAAUAUUGGAGUGGAUGUGAAAGUAAGAGAAACAUAACACACACCUGACGCCAGGUUUAUUCCAAGUAUGGACGCUCUGCGAAGCAGUGUGAAAUGGAGACCACUUCCAUUCUGGAGAAUAGUGUAGUUCACACCAGACGUGAAGCGCUGCGGUUCUCCAUGGCCGGCUCGCACUGUACAGCGAUCAUUUCCACAUCUGGUCUAUAUUUUGGGCAAGAUCCGAGUGAUCCGCGUCACGGACAGUUCACACCAGACUAAAGCAGGCGGAGUACACGUGGUACGGAGGACACGCGAGAAAAUCAAACGAAUUUUCAAAAUAUAACCAAUUUUCACAAUAAAAUACAGCAAUUGACAAAUAAAAAACAGACUGUAGAGAUGAAAAUGAACACACAAGACAUACACAAAAAAA